rnacentral:rRNA from 1 species
GAUGAACGCUGGCGGCGUGCCUAAUACAUGCAAGUCGAGCGAACUGAUUAGAAGCUUGCUUCUAUGACGUUAGCGGCGGACGGGUGAGUAACACGUGGGCAACCUGCCUGUAAGACUGGGAUAACUUCGGGAAACCGAAGCUAAUACCGGAUAGGAUCUUCUCCUUCAUGGGAGAUGAUUGAAAGAUGGUUUCGGCUAUCACUUACAGAUGGGCCCGCGGUGCAUUAGCUAGUUGGUGAGGUAACGGCUCACCAAGGCAACGAUGCAUAGCCGACCUGAGAGGGUGAUCGGCCACACUGGGACGGAGACACGGCCCAGACUCCUACGGGAGGCAGCAGUAGGGAAUCUUCCGCAAUGGACGAAAGUCUGACGGAGCAACGCCGCGUGAGUGAUGAAGGCUUUCGGGUCGUAAAACUCUGUUGUUAGGGAAGAACGAGUACGAGAGUAACUGCUCGUACCUUGACGGUACCUAACCAGAAAGCCACGGCUAACUACGUGCCAGCAGCCGCGGUAA